UACGAAGGGGGCUAGCGUUGCUCGGAAUCACUGGGCGUAAAGCGCACGUAGGCGGAUUGUUAAGUCAGGGGUGAAAUCCUGGAGCUCAACUCCAGAACUGCCCUUGAUACUGACAGUCUCGAGUCCGGGAGAGGUGAGUGGAACUGCGAGUGUAGAGGUGAAAUUCGUAGAUAUUCGCAAGAACACCAGUGGCGAAGGCGGCUCACUGGCCCGGUACUGACGCUGAGGUGCGAAAGCGUGGGGAGCAAACAGG
rnacentral:rRNA from 1 species